rnacentral:rRNA from 1 species
ACCUGCGGAAGGAUCAUUAACGAUUGCUACACAAGCAAAAAAAAAAAAAAGACAAAGACGUAUGGUUAAAAGCUAAAACACCUGACGAGUUCAGGAAGGAUGAUGCCUCUCUCUCGCUAGAUAGCGAAGAAAUUGGCCAUCGUGGUCGUUGUGCUUGUGCACUGCGAACGAUGUAAAACAAACAACCGAUGGCCUCUCAUACAGUAUAAUAUCUCUCGCCAUGGUAUACAGGCCUGGCAUCUGGUACGAGUCUCUCGCAGUCUCAAAACCAACCUUACAACUCUGAGCGGUGGAUCACUUGGCUUGUGGAUGCUAUGAAGACCAUAGCUAAGUGUGAGAAUGGCAGCGAGCCGUCGCUAUAUGCGCUGUCCUCUUCUUAUCACAUGUCGAAUGCACAUUGCGCCCCACCCAGCGGUCGGCUAACCUCCUGCAGACAAAAACCUGUGAGUUGGAACAAAGGCGAUGUGUGGCCCUCGAGCAACGGCGGGGGAGCCAGGAGCACAUUAGCGUGCGGACCAACCACUCGUUAGUAGUCAGGCUGAACCCUAUGGUGGGGCACUCCUAGUCGAGUGUGGUGGAUCGGACUCUUAUCUCUUGUAGCGCUUUUGCGCGAAGGAGUUUGAGUUUCUUUGUUGCUGGUGGCAUUUGGGUCGACAUCAGUCGUGCCUGUCAAAACCUGCCUUGGCUCGUGCCUCUGUGCGUAUUACCUCACGUAGGUGCGUACAUUGAAGGCCAUAGCUGGCGAUCACUCUUGCGGCCAGGGCACUACCUUUGCGGUAGUGCGCAGAGGUCCAAAAGUAUAUGGUAAUACGAGAGUCGGGUCUCUGAUACUCUAUUUGGCUCACGCAGUGAGUGGUUUGGUAAUAUGAGGUUCUCUGUGAAUACGCUUGUCUGGUAUGGGUUCGUCUCUCGUACUAUUCGAGAAGCACACGACGAACCUGGACUAAAUUUUUAGUCUCUGUUCACACACACACACGCGCACAAACAACCAUGCUGGCAGAGGGAKACAAGAGCCUGACGAGAUCAGGAAGGAUUUUCUAACAGAGUGUGUGUGUCAACAGAACCGACCAGACGAGCGUGCAGUGUCGCUCCAUUCUACGUUCGCAGCUGUGUGCAUGCUAGUUCAGGAGAGAGACCCUUCUGCUCGUGUUUUCCGAAGCCACCACCUCGACUUAGGAGAGGUUACCCGCUGAACUUAAGCAUAUCAGUAAGCGGAGGAAAAGAAACCAAUCAGGGAUUCCCUUAGUAGGGGCGACCGAAAAGGGAUGAGCCCAGCGCAGAACCUCCCGGGCCACCCGGCCUGCGGCGGAAUGUUGCGUUAAGGGAAAGGUCGUAGUCAAACCCCACAGCCACGCGAGCACUAAGUAAGUCACGAAUUGGCUAUCCCAACUAACGGCGGGAAAAUCUCCACGGAGGGUGUAAGACCCGUGUGGGCGCGUGUAAAUGCUGUGUGGGCUCGGCCUCUUUUCCCUGAGAGUCGCGUUGCUUGAGCAUGCAGCGCUAAGCAGGUCGUAAACUCGAUCUAAGGCUAAAUAUGUCCACAAGACCGAUAGCGAACAAGUACCGUGAGGGAAAGUGAAAAGCACUCUGAAGAGAG